CAGUAGCCGCGGGAAUACGAAGGGGGCUAGCGUUGCUCGGAAUGACUGGGCGUAAAGGGCGCGUAGGCGGUUUUGACAGUCAGAUGUGAAAUUCCUGGGCUUAACCUGGGGGCUGCAUUUGAGACGUCAAGACUAGAGUGUGAGAGAGGGUUGUGGAAUUCCCAGUGUAGAGGUGAAAUUCGUAGAUAUUGGGAAGAACACCGGUGGCGAAGGCGGCAACCUGGCUCAUUACUGACGCUGAGGCGCGAAAGCGUGGGGAGCAAACAGGAUUAGAUACCCGCGUAGUCCCUGUCUCUUAUAC
rnacentral:rRNA from 1 species